rnacentral:rRNA from 1 species
AAAUUGAAGAGUUUGAUCAUGGCUCAGAUUGAACGCUGGCGGCAGGCUUAACACAUGCAAGUCGAACGGUAACAGGAAGCAGCUUGCUGCUUCGCUGACGAGUGGCGGACGGGUGAGUAAUGUCUGGGAAACUGCCUGAUGGAGGGGGAUAACUACUGGAAACGGUGGCUAAUACCGCAUAACGUCGCAAGACCAAAGAGGGGGACCUUCGGGCCUCUUGCCAUCAGAUGUGCCCAGAUGGGAUUAGCUAGUUGGUGAGGUAACGGCU